AGAGUUUGAUCCUGGCUCAGAGCGAACGCUGGCGGCAUGCUUAACACAUGCAAGUCGCACGCCCUGCAAGGGGAGUGGCGGACGGGUGAGUAACGCGUAGGAAUGUAUCCUGAGGUGGGGGACAACCCUGGGAAACUGGGGCUAAUACCGCAUGGGGCCUGAGGGCCAAAGCAGCAAUGCGCCUUGGGAGCAGCCUGCGUCCGAUUAGGUAGUUGGUGGGGUAAAGGCCUACCAAGCCUGCGAUCGGUAGCUGGUCUGAGAGGACGAUCAGCCAGACUGGGACUGAGACACGGCCCAGACACCUACGGGUGGCAGCAGCAAGGAAUCUUCGGCACUGGGCGCAAGCCUGACCGAGCAACGCCGCGUGGAGGACGACGGCCUUCGGGUUGUAAACUCCUUUCGGGGGGGACGAAACGGACGGUACCCUCAGAAGCAGCCCCGGCUAACUCUGUGCCAGCAGCCGCGGUAAUACAGAGGGGGCAAGCGUUGUCCGGAUUUACUGGGCGUACAGCGCGCGCAGGCGGUCGUCGACGUGCCGUGUGACAUUCCACUGCUUAACAGUGGCGGGCCACGGUAGACGCGGGGACUGGAGGCAGGGAGAGGGAUGUGGAAUACCCGGUGGAGCGGUGAAAUGCGUAGAGAUCGGGUGGAACACCAGCGGCGAAGGCGGCAUCCUGGUCCUGUACUGACGCUGAGGCGCGAGAGCGUGGGGAGCGAACCGGAUUAGAUACCCCGGUAGUCC
rnacentral:rRNA from 1 species